UGCCCUUUGCUUUCUCUAUAGGCAGACUCCAGUUGUCCACAAGAGGGCGCUGUAGAACCAGGGAAUCUCCGGAGGCUUCACUUCACUUCACCCGGAGGCAGGAUCGUUCCUAAAGGGUUUAAAUGGAAUGAAAGAGGGCCUGGAGGACGCACCCUGUUACAGACUCUCUGCUUCAGGCAGCACCUCCAGGCUCAGUCUCUGACCAUCUGUGGGUAUCUGUCCUUCUUCUCUGUAAGCUGUGAACUUCCCAGGGUCUGACCUGUGGUGCCGGAGACCUAGCACGCGUGAGGUGGACAGGCCUAAGCUGGCUGAGAGUGUCACUGGAGCACGGGAGUACUGAAACGUACGAGCUCUGGAAAGGAGUGCAGCACAUCAAGUUGUCAGCUGGGAUCUGGAGACCAGGAGUGCAAACACAGCGGGCGGAGUGACGCUGCCAGAGCCAUUCUGCUCUGAGAGACAGCAGGCAUUAGCAAAACCAACCGUUAGGUGCACAAGUGCCGUUUGUUAAUGCGCUGGGAGCCAGAGGACACUGAUGGGAGGAGAGGUCACACAAGCUUUACUGAGAAGUGUCACUAGCCUGGCAGACAAGACUGAAAAGCACAGAGUGAACAAAUCGAUGUGUGUCGGGUGCAGACGUCGAAGCCCACGCCUGUAAUCCAGCACGUGUGGAUAUGAAGGCAGAAGAAUCAGAAAUGGAAGGCCAGUCUCAGCGCCGUGAAAAAUAAAUGACGGGCCAGAGAGAUGGCUCAGCAGAUGAAGGUACUCGCCACCAACACUGACGACCAGAGUGCCACUCCAGGACCCAGAUGGUGGAAAGAGAGAACCAGCUGCUUAGGACUGUUCUCUGACCUCCACAUGCCCUCCCCCCUUUCCCUUUUCUCCGUCCCCCUCUUUCCCACUCCUACAUGAUUCUCUCACCCAUGGGGGGGGGGCCCAGCCCGGUGACCAUACCCUACUCAGGGUUUCCUUCUCCCGUGGCCCCCAAUCACAGGGAUGCAGUGAGCAUCCAACAGUCUGGCUCCAGUUCAGAUAUUAAAGCGCCAUCUUUAGGAACUGUCCCAGGUAGCUGCCAAGGGUACCCUAUCUCCCCACCCUCUGCUUUCACCUGAGCUCCUUAUCCUGGGCACAUGCUGGAGACAUGCUCAGCAGUCAUGAGCACGGCUGUUCUUCCAGAGGACCAGGGUUUGGUUCUUGGUACCCAUAGCUGGUGGUUCACAAAGCCUGUGACUCCAGUUCCAGGGGAUCCUAUGGUCUCUCCUGGCCUCUGUGGGCAGCACCACACACACUCUUGUUACACACAUUGUGGUGGUUUGAAUGAAAAUGGCUCCCAUAGGCUCAGAGGGAGUGCCACUGUUAGGAGAUGUAGCCUUAUUAAAGUAGAUAUGGCCUUGCUGGAGGAAGUGUGUCACUGGGGGUGGGCUUUGAGGUUUCAGAUGCUCAAGCCAGGCUCAGUCACACUCUCUCUUCCUGCUGCCUGUGGAUCCAGGUGUAGAACUCUCAGCUACUUCUCCAGUGCGUCUGCCUAUAUGCCUCUGUGCUUCCCACCAUGGUGACAAUGGACAAAACCUCUGAGCUAUAAGCCAGCUUCCUUUAUAAGUGUUGCCAUGGUCAUAGUGUCUCUUCGAAGCAAUGGAAGCCCCAUAUAAGACAC
rnacentral:lncRNA from 1 species